ensembl:lncRNA
CAAGGGGGGCAGUGCCUACUCAAAAAGUUUUGAUAAGAAAGUAUUCAACAGUACAAAAAUAAAACAGAUCAAUACACCACAAAUAACACUGGAAAGGAUAUAAAGUACAGCUUUUUUUAACUAAUGAUGUCCAGCAUUGAAACAAGCAGAUAAUGUUUCGGACCAUCAAAACACCUGCAGCAUACAGUAUAUAGAGGAUUGUUAAUUAAUCCUGAAGGAAGUAUUGAUUGUGGUUAUGAGACUGGAUGCAAAGUCAAGCUAAUUAAGGAAAUAUCAUUGAUUUUAUAUCACCCAUGGGCCGGAAGGAACCAGUUCAGGCAAACGAGAUCGAACCAGAAGAGACUCCCUGACCUGAAAACCUUUUAAUGAGGCAACAAUAAAAACAUAGAUACACCCACACAUGCCCAUCAUGCUGCCGAGCCCAAAAGCUGAUAAACCGACAAUUAAUUAAUCAUAAAACAAAGGAUAGUGCAUGUGACAAUAUUUAAACAUCUCGCAAUUAUUACAGUACUGUUUCAAAAUUUUAAUUUUUGUUCGAGAAACCAAUGUUGCUGCAGAAUUUGAUGUACAGACUUAUUUUACAAUGGCUUUGAAUGCAACUUAAGCAGAACUUAAGAGUCAGAAAUAAUGUUUUAUAAAACCAUUUCAUUGUGCAGAAUUAUAUUGUGUAAUGUUAUUUUGGGUUUAAUAUUCAGUAAUACUGCAUUAUUGAUUUGACUGCGCUAAUGCCAUCGGAUGAAAACAAAACUUGAACUGACUUGAACUGGAUGAUGACACUUCUGUCUUUUGUAGAACUGCUUUAUAGCUGAAUCGACUUUUGUUUCAUAAUUGAUGAAUUUUGCAACAUCAACACUGUUACUGAACGGAAUUGAAUCAGCACUGAACUGACUUGAGCUGAAUAACAACACCGCUAUUUUUUUCUCUGUCUCUGUCAGCGAACGGUUGCUUUGCCUGUAUGCCCACUUACAAAUUUUUCAGAUAAGGUUUUAAUCAAAGG